rnacentral:rRNA from 1 species
UAUUUAUUAGAUAACAGACCAAUAUUCCUCGUGUCUAUUGUGGUGACUCAUAGUAACUGAUCGGAUCGCAUGGCCUUGUGCCGCGACUAACCAUUCAAGUUUCUGACCCAUCAGCUUUCGAUGGUAGUGUAUUGGACUACCAUGGCUUUCACGGGUAACGGAGGAUUAGGGUUCGAUUCCGGAGAGGGAGCCUGAGAAACGGCUACCACAUCUAAGGAAGGCAGCAGGCGCGUAAAUUACCCAAUCCUGACUCAGGGAGGUAGUGACAAGAAAUAACGGGUCGGGGCAUUCGCCUCGGGAUUGCAAUGAAUCGAAUUUACACCCCUUAAUGAGGAUCAAUUGGAGGGCAAGUCUGGUGCCAGCAGCCGCGGUAAUUCCAGCUCCAAUAGCGUAUAUUAAAGUUGUUGCAGUUAAAAAGCUCGUAGUUUGAUUUCUGGACGGGCGCCAACACCCGCUUGUUUAGUGUGGAGGCGGCGCCCGCCCAUCCUUCUGUUAACGCCACCGGCAUUCGUUUGCUGGCGGCGGGCUCAGAUAUUUUACCUUGAGAAAAUUAGAGUGUUUCGGGCAGGCUUGCGC